rnacentral:rRNA from 1 species
GGGGAAUUUUGGACAAUGGGGCAACCCUGAUCCAGCAAUGCCGCGUGAGUGAAGAAGGCCUUCGGGUUGUAAAGCUCUUUUGCCUGGAAAGAAAUCGCCCGGGCUAAUACCCUGGGUGGAUGACGGUACCGGAAGAAUAAGCACCGGCUAACUACGUGCCAGCAGCCGCGGUAAUACGUAGGGUGCAAGCGUUAAUCGGAAUUACUGGGCGUAAAGCGUGCGCAGGCGGUUUUUCAAGACCGAUGUGAAAGCCCCGGGCUUAACCUGGGAAUGGCAUUGGUGACUGAGAGGCUAGAGUGUGUCAGAGGGGGGUUAGAAUUCCACGUGUAGCAGGUGAAAUGCGUAGAGAUGUGGAGGAAUACCGAUGGCGAAGGCAGCCCCCUGGGAUAACAC